AAUUGCUGACACUCUGACCAAUGAAAUAUUUUGGAGGGAUUAAUUGCAUAAACAGGUUUUUAUCCUUCUGUAUUAUAAUUUGGUGUCAUGCAUACAAAUAAAUCCAACAGAUAAAAACUUUGGAAGCUUUGCCUAUGAAUUCUUGCUUCAGCUUUCACCUGUUCAUAAUGAAAAAGUAAGAUUCUUGCUAGAUCACUUUCAUUCUCCCACUUACCAUCACCAGUUGAAUUUUGAAAAAUCAGACAUUUUUAGGAAUCGGUUUGGAUCGAGUCAAUCCAGUCGAGCUACCUUGACCCAUAAUCUAACAUUCAUUCCUGACUUAAAGGACGAAACUGAAAACCAUUUUCUAGCGUCAAGAGCAUACAUGUAGCUCACAGCAGCCGAGUUUACAGUUUAUUUAACAAUCCACAAUAUAGAGGUGAUACUGAUAUUUAAACACACUAGAAAGUGUAUUUCAAGUCAACGAAACUCGAAACUUCACCGCUAGAUUAUAUCGAGGGGGUAAAAAGGGAAUUGAGGACACUUCAAAUCAAUGUCUUCUCCUUUUUGCUCAAUCUCUUAUAGAAAUCAUUAAGCAAAUUUACCGUGAUCCUGCAGCCAAAAGAAAAACAUGCUUAGUCACAACCCAAUAAUUUUUCGUAAUUAAUGUAUAAACAUAUUCGCAGAGUGAUACUUUUUGUUUAUGUAGUUGCCAAUUGG
rnacentral:lncRNA from 1 species